CACCCUCACCCCGGGCCCCGCCCUUCACGCGCACCGCGACGCCCAGCCUCAGUCUCCCGCAGCCAAUUCGGCUUUCUGGAGGGUUGCGCGCACAGCCCCCUCCCUCCGUGCCGCUGCAUGCCUUCCCCGCUCUGCCCGCCUCAUUUGGGGCGGUUGGGCUGCGCCUGUCGGGGUGGGGUCAGGAGCAAGCCAUGGAGCCAAUGAGGUGCGGCGGCUGCGUCGGGCUGACUGAUAGCGGCGGCUGAGGUGUAGGCGGAAGGAGGCGGUGGCGGCAGAGCGGAGACAGUACCUGACCAGCAUGAGUGGUUUGGAUAUGAGUCUAAUUCUAAAACCACCAGCCUAUAUUCUUAGAAAUCUUUAAAACGAAGAUCAGAAAAACAAAGUCUAUUACUGAUUAUCUUGGCUUUUAGGAUAGACAGUAUUGCUGCUUCCAAGACAGCUUAAGUAACGUUCUUCUUGGAUAUAUUGAUGGGCAUGUCUAAUUAAGGAAUAUGGAUGAAUCUGGAAACCAUCAUUCUCAGCAAACUGACACAAAAACAGAAAAUCGAACACCACAUGUUCUCACUCAUAGGGAGAAAAAUCGAUCUGCACGGAGUACACACUGAGCUAAUUACAGAAAGAGAAGCAGAGAAGACAGAUGAUGAGAAGGUCUUGAUGCUGGUUUAGUCUCCUCUGCAUCCCAUCUUUGCUGAAGUCAGCUCUAAUCCUUCCUUCUCCACCACUGGUAAAUAGUAAAUUUUCCUCUUUGACUUAAACUAGCAAUGUAGCUGUUGUUCAAGAUUGAAAGCUUCAUAACACAGAGCCCUGCAUUGACCUCUUUGGAGCCUUGCUGAUGCAAUUCUCACCAUGCGAGGAGCCCUUUUAUCAACAGUAUACCUGACUCUAAUAUCUAGGAGUGUAAUGUUUAAAAACACCGAGUCUCUGCUUCCAAAGAAGUCCAAUAUUAAUGGGGCGCCGGGGCGGGGCUCGGGGCGGCCGCGCAGGGAGCUAGAGCCCGCAGCUGGAAGCGGCCCCACCCCGGCCGCGCGGGGCGAGGCGAGGCGGGGCGGGGCCGGGAGUGAUGGGAAGGGGAGGCCUCGCGGAUCCGGAGCAGCAUCGCGCCAGCCGGGCUGCGGGCUGCAGCGGUCGUGCACUGAGUCCGCGAUGGGGCUGGAGACUGAGAAGGCGGACAUGCAGCUCUUCAUGGACGACGACUCCUACAGCCACCACAGCGGCCUCGAGUACGCCAACCCAGAGAAGUUCGUGGACUCAGGCCAGGACCGGGAUUCCCACCGGCUCAACUCGCAUCUCUCAAGCUGGGCUUGGAGGAUGUGAUCGCAGAGCCGGUGACUACGCCCUCCUUUGACAAAGUGUGGAUCUGCAGCCAUGCCCUCUUUGAAAUCAGCAAAUACGUAAUGUACAAGUUCCUGACGGUGUUCCUGGCCAUCCCUCUGUCCUUCCUUGCGGGAAUUCCCUUUGCCACCCUCAGCUGCCUGCACAUCUGGAUUAUAAUGCCUUUUGUAAAGACCUGCCUAAUGGUUCUGCCUUCGAUGCAGACAAUAUGGAAGAGUGUGACAGAUGCUAUCAUUGCUCCAUUGUGUACGAGCAUAGGACGAAGCUUCUCUUCUGUCAGCCUGCAACUGAGCCAGGACUGAAUACUUGGACCCCAGGUCUGGAGAUUUGGAUACUGUAAAGUAUCAACAACUUCUUUGAUGUUAUAACAUAAAAGCACCACUGUUCUGUUCAUUUCCUAGCUGUUCUAAUUAAGAAAACUGUUAAGAUGAGCAACCACAUUUAGAAAUGUUUAUUGGCAGAUCUUUUCAAAUAAUGCUUUUCUAAUUAAUAGCCAAAGAUUUCAUACCUAACUUUGUAACCAGAAUUAUACCAUAAGUUGACAACACUUAGAUUUAAAGGCAGACAGUUUUGCUUUAGUACAAUAGUACACAUUUUAUAAUGAUGACUUGAAAAUAAUCAAGGGACAUUGCUAUCAAAACAUUACAAUAGUUUUAUGCACAACUUCCCAUAAAAAAAUGAGAUUUCUUAUUUGUGUGUUUGUUUUUACUUUAGGAGUAAACCUUUUUAAGUGAGCUUUACAGAUAUAGUCACUAGUAUACUUAGAAUAUACAACGAUCCUGGAAAUUGCAGUAAUGAAAGCACACAGUGAUUGUAGUAACUAUCAGAUACAAUAAAACAAAUAAAUGUGACAGUAGAUUCAUGAAAAUGUAUUCCUUUGUUUUCCGACAGGCCUAUUUAAUAAGAUGUUUCAUUUUACUGUAUAUUUUGUACUUAAUAUAAAUGUUGCUCUAAUCAGAUUGCUUAAAAGCAUUUUUAUUAUAUUUAUGUUGUUGAACUAAUAUAUGAAAUAAGUAAAUUUAGUUACCACAAGGUAAACUUCAUUGGUAAGAUUGCACUGUUUUGAUUAUGUAAGCAUCUAUAUAUCUUCUUUGAAAAUAAAAUACAAAAGAGCGAUACACAAAGCUUUCUUUUCUAAAUUUUCCGAGAAAAAUCUGAAAUGUUUUAUGACUGACGUUUAUCUGGUUGUGCUUUUAAAAGUAUUCAUAUCUAAAUAUUAUUAUUAUGUCUAGGAGAUGCUUUCUUUCUAGUAGUUAGAAAUUAAACUUGUGUCUGCAUUCCUAUUGAUGUUUCACUUUACUUUCAAGUAAUAUUGGUGCUAUUUAACAUUUUAAAGUAAAGGCUACUUCUGAUACUUUAGUACAAUUUCAACUACAGUGAUUCACGUAGAGAGACAGGAAAGUUGUCAACUUGUUAGGCUACUGAGCUGCAUGCAUAAACUAAAAACUAACAGCUACAAACUUUUAAGAUGUUCUCUAAUAUGUAUAUGUAACACAGGAUAAAGUUAUUCUUGUCAUUUUGAGCUGUAGAGUCCUGUUUCAGUGUGAUGAAUCACUGUUGCUUUGAAAAAUCUCAUUUCAAAAUGACAGACAUACCAAAAAAAAGUCUAUAAUGUGAGUAGUUACUAAAUUUUACACAUCUAAAAGUGCAUAUAUGCUUAAAUUUCAGAAUUGCCAUCAGAACUUGAAUUGACUUUCCUUUGAAUACCCUUAUAAGUGACAAAUAAGAUUAAUAAGAUUUUUCAAAAUUGCUGGGACUGGUGAAUAUAAAUGAUGAUUAAACUGGAAUACUAUUGGGGACCAAAUCAAAUGAAUGAUUCAAUUAUGAAGCUCAUAUCCUUUUGAAGGUAGUUGCAAAAGAGACAUUUCAAAACUGCCCUAAGCCAUUGUAGCAUCCUUAGGUGGAACACAUAAGCAUUACCUUAAAGUAUCACCACUCAUUUUGACCAUAUAGAUUUUAUUAUGUUAGUUUAAAAGGUCAAUCAGUCUCAUGAUUUUAUAGUUAUGUCUUGUAUCUUAAAACAUUUUUUUAAACAUUUGGAUAAACCAGAAGUAUUUUAAGAUCCAUUUUUAUAAAUUAUGAGCUUCUAUCUUUUCAAAUAGCAAGUUUUAAGCCCAAAACAUGUAUAUAUAGUUCUGUAAUAAAACUGUGUGACUUCUAACAAGUAACAUGUGAUUUUAUUCUUUCUGAACAGUACUGGUUACAUUCAAAAUGAAUUUUUAUUGAGAUUUUCCAUUAACUAUUUUUUUCAAAGACUCACAUUUUGAACCAAGUAAACCCAGGCUUUAUGGACAAAUAUGUUGUUUCUUUUAUUUGGGGCUGGGGGAGGUAUAUGAUUAGCAGACUGCCUCAGAAUUCAUAAUAAAUGUUCUAAAAACCUAAAAAAAAAAAUAAAUAAGAAAAAGAAGUCCAAUAUUAAUCAGAAAGCAGACAUUUAAAAGAGAUAUACGCAUGUUACAUAUGUGCAAAUUGUUAUGGGAAACCAGAGGACACUAGGGAUCCAUACUAUCUUUAAUGUGAUCAUGCAGACUUCCUUUUAAAUCAGCAACUUUAAUAGUUUUUGGAAAUCUGAUCAAAGCUUUAGAUGCUAUCCGAAGAAAAAAAUUCUCAGGCCAAAUUGUUGUUAGACUCACAGAUAUGUUAGAAACAUAAAGUCACAGAUACAUUAGAAACGUAACGUUACCUUCCAAUGCCACUUGUCCAUGAGUUUAGUUUUCACCACAGUGUUUCUUUGCUUAUUGGAAUUCAUAGACAUCUUGCAGAAAUAGUAUAGCACUUUCCUCAGAAAAAUGUGUACCUGCAGAAUUUCUCUUAAGUCAUGAGUUCUAUGACCCCAAUCGAAAUUCCCUACCAUGUAGAAUCGGCUAGCCACUGACUCCUUCAGCAGGUCUCUAUGUGGGGUCAGGACUACUCUGAAUCCCACCCACAGGCAGUGCUAAGUGUUUUCUGCCAUAAGAACCAUGGCAAAAAUGAACAGUGACUUGUUAAACAGUUUUAUAAUACGAUUUGCCAUCUAUACUCGAAUGUCUCAAAGUUGUAACUGACUAGAUGAAGCUUGUGAGGAAAAUAAGCCAUUUAACUUGACUUAUUUUCCAAGAGUGAGCUGUUCUUCAAGAAGCCAGAAUCUAGCUCAGGAGUCUCUCCCUCUCUCAAACAAAUGUGAGUUAUGCAGCUUCUAUCUGUAGGGCAUUGUGCAUUUCCUCUCCACUGCUGCACAAGAUGCUUCCUAGCCGUAGCUAUUGAAUUAAUCAAAAUUUACUUUUAUUGCACCAUUCUGGAAACUUCAUUCAUACCCCUUUCCAGUAACACUGAAAAGAAAAAUAAUCCAUGCCACUCAAUUAAGAAUAAAACAUAUGUCUUCUUGAUGAUGUCUGAGUGGUGGCAAUUCCAGUGGUCAUUGUCUCUUGAAGUCACUCAACAUUUAGGCCAAGAUAGACUACCAGGGUAUUCCCGCAAGCAGAUAAGUUUCAUUUCAACCACUAAAAGAAAAAAAAAAAAAACAAUUUUAAAAGUAAGGGAUCUCUGAUGACCUAGUGUCUGUGGACAGAAGCAAUAAUAAUAAGAUGAAUUUUGUGAGCACUUUCCCUUCUAACUGUUCAAAGAGCAGCACCAACUAAUAUUUAAUUCACCUCCACCACAGCCAUGUGAUUUAUAACUUCUCCAGGACCCAAGACUUGAGUAAAGAAGAUUACUCAGGCAUUCAGCAGUGGUCUUGGCUGUUUAAAGUGCUGAGGAUAUACAUUUCCUGGCAUUACAAGAAAGAGAUCUAGACUCUAGAAUAAGGGAAGGGAAAGAUAUUUGUGCUGGUAUAGAGUUAGGCAUGUUAAGAUAGGACUGCCCCGGAAAUAGAGAGCUCACCAAGAAGACUCAUGGGGGACAUUACCUGGAAGAGCCCAGCCCCGGGUUGCCAUUCUUAGCUUUAUAGCUCCAUAAACUACCUUGUUAAUGGCCUAGAAUUGACAUAACUCAAGGGAAUUGCCUGAUCAUAACCUAUUAAUACACAAAUUCAAAUGAAAUCAGACUACCUAUCAGUGUGUUCAUGUAAAAUGCACAGAUACUUCCUUGAGUGAUUAAAGGGUAGUGUUUGUUCACAAUCCAUCUGUCUGGUUUCCGUAUAUCAAAAAACAAAACAAAUGGCAAAAAACUUGGGAACUAACACAGUGAUUGAUGAACAUGGAAUCAGAUUAAAGGUCACUCUUUUUCUGCUUCUUGAAGUUAUUCUCUGUCUUUUCCUCCCUAUUUCCCCCCCAUAACAUUGCCUUUGCUUACCUACAUAUAUGUGUGUGCAGACACACAUACAUUUAUAAACACAUAAAUGCACACACACACACACACACACACACACUUUGCCAACUCCUAUCAUUCCUUAAAUGUCAGAUUCUUAUUAAAUGUUAUCUGAGGCCCUCAUAUCAGGUUAAGUUCUAUUAUGUACUCUUACAGCACCACAUGUAUCUCUCUCUCUCUCUCUCUCUCUCUCUCUCUCUCUCUCUCUCUCUCUCUCUCUCUCUCUCUCUCUCUCUCUCUCUCUCUCUCUCUCCCUCCCUCUCUCUCUCCUCUCCUCUCUCUCUCGUAGCAUUUAUUAUGUGGCAUUUUAGUUAGUUUUAUUUUCCAUGAGAUUGUAAAUUCCGUGUGGGCAGAGAUGGGUAGCAUCUGGUUCACCAUCCUUUCUAUAGCACCUAACAAGGUAUCUGGGAUAUCUAGUAUAUACUGAGCUCUUAACAACAAGAAUACAAAUUAUAGAUAACAUGUUUAAAGCACUCAGAUGUAGCAGGCACCAGGCUAAGAACUUUGCAUAUCUUAUAUAACCUUCACAACUUGCAUUUAUGUACCAUGGUCAGCAUUUUCAAAAAAGGAAAAUGAAAACUGCAAAGAUGAAGUCACUUUCUUAGCUUCGGUUCUUCAGAAACAAAUUCUGAAAAUAGGAUUCAAGUGCAAGUGGUUUAUUUGAGAGAUGAUCUCAGGCAACAUCCACUGGGGAGUAGAGGAGUGAGACAGGAAAAGGAAAACCGCCAACAAAGGGUGCAUCCUCCAGUCAGAUACCACUGUGGGCAACUGAACUCAGUGCCCUGGGGAAAUGCCAGCAACCAGCACAGAACACUUACAUGAGAGUUACCCCAUCAAAAGAGCAAGCGAGAUGGGGUACCUAUGGACCACCUUCCAUCAGUCAUUGGUUGAGGUCUGCUAAGCAUAGGUUUCAGGGGCAUUAUUCCCUAGCCCUCUGGCUUACUGUGUACAUGCAGGCACAGCAGGCUCCAGCUAUCAAAGAGAGCCCUGGAGGAGUUGGAAGGCAGGUGUACUGCCCACCUGUGAGAAGAACUAAGGCAUGUAGGAAGAUAGCAGCUGCAAAGGUUACACACUCAAGUUCUGUUCUUAAUCAGGGACAAUACCGGGAUGGGACCUGAGACUCUUUGACUCCAAAGUAUAUGGUUUUAAUGACUAUCUUCAUAUCCAUAUCUUAAACAAAUGAAUAAAAAGAGGGAAAAAGAAAUAAAGUGAAGAAAUAAAGAUUAUCAGGAAGAAUUUUUUUGUGAGAGCUAAGAUUAUGUCUGAUGAAGCUUUUCUCUCCUCAAAGAGAAAUGCUUUUCUAGCAACUAGGGUGUUGGUGCUUUCUGGAUUCAGUGUCUCUCCUCUUGGGGAGCAUUGCACUGUUCUGUCAGUUUUCUUUCUCUUUAUAAGAAGGUAAGAGAGCUCAUGGUAAGGGAACCUCUUCUUUGGUGCUCUUCAUUCUUUCUGAAAAUAUGAUAAUAUACUGAUUUGGUCACAAUCAAGUCUUGACCUAUCCUGGGAACUAUGCUGUUUCUAUGGUGAUUGCCCAUAUACCACCUGUCAGCUGUCAUUCAUUGAUUUUCUUGGUCCAAAGCUCAGAUUACUGAGGGCACUAUUUAUGGUUGCCAGUAAGCCCUGUAUCCUGCCUGUAUAUUUCUUUUCUUCUCUUCUCUUCUCUUCCUCCCUUCAUACUCAUCAUCUCAUUCCAUGCAGGCUUCAAAAUUAGAUUGCAGCUCCAAAUUUAGUUAAUCCAUUUUAUUGGUAAGAUAGUGGUGUCUCUUUCACAAUACAAUAGCUGUGUCUUGAGAAUAGUCAUUUGUUAAUUUGGUUCUUGUUAAUAAAAUCUUUUUAUAAUGCCAGUAAUCAUAUCCUACAGUUCAUAGUCUCAGUCACACCAUUUAGCCAGUGCCUGUAUGUCAUCUGUACAUCUGUUUAUUUGUGAAAUCAAGCCUUAUGUCCGGUUCAACACAUGUAUACUGAGCACCAACUAUGUUCCAGUCACUGUGGUCAUGACCAAAAUGUGAAUAGGACAUGUUCCCUGUUCUUAAAGGCUGGUGCGAGAGACACAUAAAAAUGUGAUGUCAGGACUUUGUGAUAUGCUGUAUCACAGAGUUCAGCAUGAAGACAUAAGAAAGGAGAAAGUGCAGUUAAUAUAUAGUAUUAUAAACGUAUGAGACCAGCCUUGUAUAUUUGGUUUGUCAUUGGCCAAAAUGUUAUUAUGCAGAGCAUGACUGAAAUUGCUGAAAUAGUAUAGAUGGAACUUUGAGGGGAUAGUCCAGCCAAAGUCAAAGACUGAGACUUAGGGAUAAGGGGCUUUGGAAAAUUAUCUGGAGAUGAUAGGAAGGUCCUGGGUUCUUAAUUCCAACUUCUCUGUGUUCUUCCUCCUCCUACACACAAUACCCCAAUAUUCCCUACCCUCCCAAAAGGAAUUUUUUUUUCUUGCUUAUCUUCCUCAAAAUAGCCUUGAUUUUCUUAAACUUACUUUGAAAUCACAAAAUACCCUUGGCUCCAAUAUGGUAUGUAAUGCAUUUUCAUAGUCAAGAAUUCAUAAUUAUGAUAAUAACUAAUAUAUACUGAAGUGCUUCAUAUAUGCCCGGUGCUCCACUGUGGACUCCUGCAUUGUUAUUAUUUUUUUAAUUUAUUUAUUUUUGAGGUGGAGUCUUGCUGUGUCGCCCAGGCUGGAGUGCAGUGGCAUGAUCUCGGUUCACUGCAACCUCCACCUCCCUGGUUCAAGCAAAUCCCCUGCCUCAGCUUCUUGAGUAGCUGGGAUUACAGGCACAUUACUUAGGCCUUUGAACAACCAAUGAUUUAGGUACUAUUAUUAUCCCCAUCUUAUAGAUGAGGAAAUUGUUGGUUAGUAAAAUGAAGGAAUCUGCUCAAAGAUAACUGCAAACAGCAGGUUUGGGAUUUGAACACAAAGCACUUUGACUCCAGAAACCAUGUAAUUACCCCUUCUUUAUACCCCUUUUCCUAUAAAUUCUUCCAUUCACCCAAACAUUUACAUUACUUUUACUGAGAACUCUAGGAGGCCAAGUGUUACAUUAUAUGAAGAAAAUGCAGGCAUUAAAAGAAACAUCCUAAAUCCUCAAGAAAUUUUACAAUUAAUGAACAAUGUCACUUAGAAUGAGCUGUAGACCAAAAAGCAGUUUUUCAACUGCAAAGAACAGUGUUAAUCUCCAGUUGAAAAAUGCUAGAUAAAGGCAAUUUUGGGGGAUUGUGGGAGGCUGCCUCAAGAAAGGCAACAUACACAGUUAGACAGGAGAGGAGGAGAGAAUGUUGAGGAAAAAAAAAAAGAAAUAUAAAGUUUAGAGCUAAAUUAUGGGUACUUUUUCAUUCCUCCAUUGGAUCCUUCAAGAUUAUUGAACAUCUGUUAUUUUAAAGGCUCUGAGCUGGAUGCCAGGGGUAUAAAGAUGAAAGAACAGGAUUCAUAUCUCAAUGAGCUCCUAAUCUAGUACAAGGAAGGGAGUUACAAUGCAUGGAACAAAUAAAAUAUAGAAACCACCAUGGCCCAAUCUCCAGUCCCAGUCUACUUCUUGGGGUCAUGGCAAACAUAUCUUUCUGAGGUCAGAUACAGCUUCAGAAAGCUUUCAACAUGGAGUUCCAGUUAUACGCUAUAAUUAAUUGGAUUCUGCAUUUAAAAUGGAACCUGUUUGCUACUGCAAUCUAGUAAAAUGGCAGACAUGGAGGCAUAUAUGAGUGACAGUGGGUACAGGCAUCAUAGAGUUCCAGGGUCAGUCCUUAAAGAAUGUCCAGACCAACAAUCUCACUUUUCAAAUGGGGAAAAUUAAAGUCCAGAAAUAAGUAGCAAAAGAGAAUUAGGUCACAAACUCAGAUUCCCUGUUCCCUUUCCACAGUAUCACAGUUCUCUCUUACUGAAACGUCCUCUGCAGUAAAGUGGGCUUCUGAUGGAGUCAAAAAAAAGAGCCUAUGUCUGCAACUAUCUGCAAAACCUUCCUAGGGGUGAGGAAGCUGAUUGAGGUCAGGGUGAGAAGGCCCUUGGGGCUGCUUCCUAGACCCUGGUGCUGAUCUGCUGACUUUUAUGCCAUUUCUUUUAAUUAACAUGUAAAAAAAAGACAGCUCUGUCAGCUCGUGCCAAGUCUUUUGCAUCUUCAGCUUGACGCAGUGGGGCAUGAACUUGAGAUAAUCUGUGAGUGAAAGUUCCCAGUGCUAAAAUGGGAAGUAUUAAUGAGUGGAACCACCAUGCAUGCACUUUCCAGGAUCCAUUUUCCACGUAGACAGCUUUUGCCCAGUUGUAAUAACUACUAACCAAUCUAUACUCCCUCAUGGGUUAAGCAGGAAGGUCAGGAAUCAUAAAAUCAUCUAUUUCCCACUCAUAAUAUUCGAGUUUGGGCUCCUGGACUUGCCCCAGGCUGCAUCACAGUGAGAACUUAUUUAUAACCAGGUUAGAAGGAGAUCAAUGGCCCAGACUAUGUAGAAAUACGGAUUUGCAUGCAGUUUUCUGAAUGUCUGAAUGAGACCAUACAUGCCAACAUGAUAGCUGUCAAUUAACAAGAGAAAUGUGGUAAAGAAUGAGGACCAGGGUGAAGUGAGUGAGACCUUUGUUGCCAAGUUAAGGGGCUGCCAAAAAACUUAGUAAUCAAGAUAAAUAUUGCAGUAUUUUUUUAAAUUUUAAAUAUUGCAAUAUUUUUAACAUUUUUGAAAAAUAUGACAAUUUUUAAAAAUCUCCUAACAAGGAGAUGAACUGGGAUUCAGAUUCCCAAUGAUCUGUUCUUUCUAUCACAACUUUCUGUCACAACAUGGGAAGUAGAAGCCUUAAAAAGGAACAUUCUUAUACAAAAACUGGACAUUUAUAAGAACGCUAAAUAGGAAAAAGAUAUGAAGCAUAACGAUAAGCAAGAAGUUUAGUCCCUUUAUCAUAUAAAUCCAAGAAAUAUAUUGUAUGCAUUAAAUUCCUCAUUAAAAUAAAGAUAUAUAAAGCUCACACUUGUAAUCCCAGCACUUUGGGAGGCUGAGGCAGGUGGAUCACUUGAGGCCAGGAGUGAGACCAGCAUGGCCAACAUGAUGAAACCCCAUCUUUCCUAAAAAAAAUACAAAAAUUAGCUGGGUGUGGUAUAAUCCCAGCUACUUGGGGGGCUGAGGCAGAAGAACUGCUUAAACUAGGGAGGCAGAGGUUGUAGUGAGCCAAGACAGUGCCGCUGCACGCCAGCCUGGGUGACAGAGCAAGAUUCUGUCACAAGAUAAAUAAAAUAAAAUAAAAAAUAUAAACAGACACCAACAAAACCAGUGUUUAAAUUGGGAGAAAUUAAGAAAGAACCAUGAAUAUUGAGAAAAAUCUCACAGAUACAAAGAUUUGGAAGACACUAAAAUAAAAAUAGGUGAAUAAUAGCUACUUCAUCUGCAAAGGGAGGAUAGUAAUCUCUAAUUCGGGUUGUUACAAGGGUCAAAUGAAAUAGUGAGUGCUAAAGUCCUGACCUAUAGCAAAGAACCCAUGCGGUUAACGGUUCUUAAUAUUUUUCUUUGUAAUCAGACAGAACUGCGUUUAAAUUCCAUGUGUCAUUCAUGCAUGAUCUUAGGAGCGUUGAUCCAAGUUAGGUUUUUUGUUUCUUCAAAUCUACAAAAUGGGGACAAAAGAUAAGCAUCUUAAUUAAAAAAAUUAAGUAUCAUAAAUAUCUGGCCAAGUGCCUAAAACACUGUGUAUGUUUAGGAAUUGGUGGUGGUAGUUGUUAUCGUAAUUGGGAAAGAAAUUUGUUAUUUCAAACAAUACUGACAGCAACUGUUUUUGCUUUCUAAGGGGAGUGGUAGUGUGAGUCAUAUUCGAGGGAAAAUAGAUCUCAAAGCUAUUCCAGUCCUCUUCCAGAAAACGAUGAAGGAAGAUAGAAGUCGUAAAUUUCAAACUUGUCAUGUUUUGUGAGUGGCUGAAGGGUGGCCAGGGGUAGAUGGUCCUUUCUUUUAUCAGAGAUGUUAAUGAGUUUUGGAUACACAAAGAGAGUCAGGCAGUAGAAAAUUUCUGCUUUGAUUCAAUAUAACCUCAAAACUUACAGAAUUACAACCAUCAUCCAGAGGCUUGUCUAUAGGUACACUAUACAUCUGGAUAUUCCUAAAUAUCUGAAUGGCUGACUGCAUCUUUUGUACUUUUAACCAAAUAUUUGGGAUUAAUAACAGAAAAUAGAGGACAGAAUAAUGACUUCAGGGAAGUUAUCAGAUUGAAUGUCUAUAAUUGAAGCUUGGAAAAGCAACACCCGGAUCUGCUAUCUGAUAGAAGAGCUGAGAGAAGUAAAUGGCCUGUGAGCCAAUAAGGAAGGCAGGUGUGAUUGUGAUGAUGAGUGAUUUUAGUCCCCCUAAUUGUUGUCAGGAAACCUGUGAGACAUCAGAGCCAGGAGAAGGGAAUGACUGAUGUCCAAAUGAUUUCUUGGAGCCAUGUGUGAAAGACAGCCCACCGGGGAUAAUUCAUUUCUGGAUCUAGUGAUACCUCAUGUCUGGGACUGGAUGACAAGUAUUCGUUCAGCACCUGCUGUGCAUUGUUUUAUGUACUGAGGAUACAGCAGCCCACCUGGAGCUGACAUUCUAGUGGGGAAAAAAAGGGUCACGGGUAUCAGCGGUCCAGGGAAGGAAGCAAAACAAAUAGAGAAUGGCUGUGACAUUGCAGGGAAGCAACUACAGAGACAGCUCAGCAGCACCUCCUAUAGCGGGAAUAUCAGUAGGCACCACAAUAGCACCGCAGAGCUGCAGAAAGCCAAAAACAAAAAGGAGGAGACUUGGAAGCUGAUGGAGGCUGACAAGGCACAAACAGGGCAGGUUCGGGUAAAGGCUCUGACACUUCCUCAAGGGCACACUGCUGAGACUUCCAGAUUCUACCUGUGCAGGGCUCCAUGGCAGUCUCCAACCUUCAACUCUUCAAUCUAUGAAAGCACAGAUUCCUGAAAGGAUGGCCUCAAAUGACAGGAGUGGCUCUCUACAUCCCUGCUCCUGAAUAACAAGCUACCUGGAGUCUCCAUCAGCUGCCCCCAGCAUAGACACACCUCCAAUUUCCCAACUGAACUUCAUGACUGAUUGGCCAAUCAUGCCCCUGACCCAGCCUACAUGAACAUUGGAAGACCAUCAGUGAAUUAUGAAAAGAAGUAGAGGUGAGGAGGCACCUAUCCUGGGCUACAGAUCUAUGUUGUUCAGCAAUCUCCAGCCCCUAGUACUCAAGAAGCUCUAAGCCACCCCGUGAUACCACAUUUCUAUCUGCUGUAGAGACUCUUCCCAGUGUCUCAAAAUGUUUUAGCAUCUUUCAGUAAAAAUCUUCGUCAGUUAUUGAUCAAAAGAAAAGCAACGUGUUUAAAGCUCCCUCGAACCCUCUAAUGUGCCUUUGUAAAUUCCCAAGAUCUUGUGUUCUUCAUCUUUGUAAUUUCUUUAUUAAACUUGUCAUAAACUUCAAUAAUCUGA